rnacentral:rRNA from 1 species
GGAAUAUUGGACAAUGGGGGCAACCCUGAUCCAGCCAUGCCGCGUGCGUGAAGAAGGCCUUAGGGUUGUAAAGCGCUUUCACUGGUGAAGAUGAUGACGGUAGCCAGAGAAGAAGCCCCGGCUAACUCCGUGCCAGCAGCCGCGGUAAUACGGAGGGGGCAAGCGUUGUUCGGAAUUACUGGGCGUAAAGGGCGCGUAGGCGGAACAUUAAGUUAGGGGUGAAAGGCCUGGGCUCAACCUGGGAACGGCCUCUAAGACUGAUGAGCUUGAGUCCGGAAGAGGAUGGCGGAAUUCCCAGUGUAGAGGUGAAAUUCGUAGAUAUUGGGUGGAACACCGGUGGCGAAAGCGGCUCUCUGGUCCGGUCCUGACGCUGAGGCGCGAAAGCGUGGGGAGCAAAC